rnacentral:rRNA from 1 species
UACGUAGGUGGCAAGCGCUGUCCGGAUUUACUGGGCGUAAAGAGCGCGCAGGCGGUCGGUCAAGUCGCGUGUGAAAGCCCCCGGCUCAACUGGGGAGGGUCACGCGAUACUGAUCGACUCGAAGGCAGGAGAGGGUAGUGGAAUUCCCGGUGUAGUGGUGAAAUGCGUAGAUAUCGGGAGGAACACCAGUGGCGAAGGCGACUACCUGGCCUGUUCUUGACGCUGAGGCGCGAAAGCUAGGGGAGCAAACGGG